GGCUCCAACCUGCUGGUGCUCGCGCCUAACUUUUCCGGUUCGCUGUACGGCAUCUCCAACACAUUCGCCAACGUCGCCGGCAUCCUCGCGCCAUACGCCGUCGGCUACCUCACCAAUGGAAACCAAACGAGGGGUCAGUGGGACAUCAUGUUCCUCAUCUCUGCCGGCGUGGGCCUGGUCACCUUCCUGCUGUACUUGGUGCUAGCCACCGACAAGGAGCAACCCUGGAACAGGCCUGAAGAAGAAGCGUGUCAGAUUCCAGAGACUCCAGAAUCCUAUAAGAAGUUCGACGAGGGCCACGUCAACGAUGCGUUUGAGAAAGAACAUUCGGUGUACAUCUGAAAUGCAGCUGU